GGCGUCAGGACGAACGCUGGCGGCAUGCUUCAUACAUAGCAAAGUCGAACGAUAAGGUCUCUUCGGAGAUACAUAAGUGGCGGACGGGUGAGUAAUAUGUAGGGAAAUCUGCCCUAGAGAGGGGGACAACAGAGGGAAACUUCUGCUAAUACCCCAUAUGAGCGUAGUUGAAAUACUAUUCUUGAAAACUCCGGUGCUCUAGGAUGAGCCUGCAUCUGAUUAGCUUGUUGGCGGUGUAAUGGACCACCAAGGCGACGAUCAGUAGCUGGUUUGAGAGGAUGAUCAGCCACAAUGGGACUGAGACACGGCCCAUACUCCUACGGGAGGCAGCAGUAGGGAAUUUUGCGCAAUGGGCGAAAGCCCUGACGCAGCAAUGCCGCGUGAACGUAGAAGCCCUUCGGGGUGUAAAGUUCUGUCAGUGGGGACGAAUUUUGACGGUACCCACAGAGGAAGCACCGGCUAACUCCGUGCCAGCCGCCGC
rnacentral:rRNA from 1 species